UACAGAGGUCUCAAGCGUUGUUCGGAUUCAUUGGGCGUAAAGGGUGCGUAGGCGGCGCGGUAAGUCGGGUGUGAAAUUCUCGGGGCUUAACUCGAAACUGCAUUCGAUACUGCCGUGCUUGAGGACUGGAGAGGAGACUGGAAUUUACGGUGUAGCGGUGAAAUGCGUAGAUAUCGUAAGGAAGACCAGUGGCGAAGGCGGGUCUCUGGACAGUUCCUGACGCUGAGGCACGAAGGCCAGGGGAGCAAACGGGAUUAGAACCGUACCUCGU
rnacentral:rRNA from 1 species